rnacentral:misc_RNA from 1 species
CUUAGCAAAUUUGUGAAAGUCACGGAGUUUUGAUGUCAAGCGGAGACUACGAAGUGGUUCACCACUGCUCUUAUGGCACUUCCCUUGGCUAUCAUGUGAAUUAGGAGAAACCAUAGAAUCCAAACUAUCUCUGCAUCCAGAGGAUGAAGGUCUAGGAGCUGUUCUCUGACACUCAGAUUCGUUCGAAUCCAAAUAGGUAUCACUUGGCACCCGUUCUUUGCUUGGUGUUGAAGGACAAUGUCCUACAAAACCAGCAGAUUGUGAUGGCGACUCAGGAAUUACCAUGUCUUCUUUCUCAAGAUCGCCAGCAGAAGCUCUGUUGAUAACACCAAGAAAUACUCGAAAGACGCUAUCUAGUUUCUGAUGAAGGGUGAGAAGGAAUAUAUGAAAUCCCUGCAAGUCACGCAAAGCUGCUCUAAAUCCAAUCCGAAAUUCAUGCCCUAUUGAAGCCAAGUCAGCUGCCUGAUUGUUGUUCAUUGCAUCAGAAGCCUCCGGAGAAGAUCCUAAUUUUCCUCCUGUAAUCUCAUAUAAUAAUUUUGAAGCAUACUCAGGACUGUUAAUAAG